rnacentral:sRNA from 1 species
UGACACAAAACACGAAACGUGCAUGAGC